rnacentral:ncRNA from 1 species
AUACGUGUAGGGUGGAGAUGCACAGGUAACGUGCCGUGUGGCACCGAGCCCUGCCAGGAUCGACCUGGGUGGAGAUGGAGUGGUUUGGCGGCCUGUGUUCAACCCGGCCUUACCGAACGAAGUACUUCCGGCCACCCCAGCAAUCGAACCACGGCACGGCCGGCCCCGCACAGACGCCUUCGAAGGCUUCCGCGGCGCGCUGUCUGAUUCCUCCUCCUGACUGAGUGCUUUUGACACCACACAAAGGCAGGACGCGUCGCCAGGUAGGGCCCGGAAAGAGCCUGGUUCCUGGCAGGAAGGCGAGCUACCUUCCUCGCACCUGAACACCGACCGUGAGAAGUCGUGUGUGCCGAACGCCGUUUCCGGCAGCCCGGAAACCGA